UGGGGGGUUUGCUGGUAAAAAACGCGCUCGCACUCUGGCGAACCAGAUUAGAGGGCUAUGAUACAUCACACUCGAUUCCUUGUUUUGAACAACGCGAACGGCCAGGUCAUCUUCCACGCGAAGGGUAAAAUCAAAUCUAGGGGUCUUCGAUACGGGAGAAACUUGCGAGAAACGGGGUAUGGAUGGACCGUCUUACGUUUGUGCGAGGGUGAAGUAGUGGUCGAUAAUGCAUGGUGGCGUCGUUGGUGAGUGGGGGCAUGGGGGUGCAAUAACGCAUGGAUUGCGAUGUGAGCAGGUCCGACCUUUGCAUACAAUGGGUGCACACCAUUAUAAGCUGAGCUCCUAGAACGUACGACCACAACGCUAAACUGAUAAAGGAUAGCAACAACCCAGGUGAUAAUCACGAAGACAGCGAGACAACUUUAGAAGAAUUCUUUUGGGCUAACAUAAAUACGAGAUAAACGUAUAUUGGAUGUGAACCAUCGAUGACCACAGGUUAUAUCCAAAACAAUCAAAGACCCGAGGCUAUUGUGCAAUAUGAUUGAAGAUAUAGGGCCGCUGAGUAACCAAGGGAGAAGGCUCCUCCCUAAUGUCGUUGACGAAUUAGGUGCGGGUGAUCCCAGUCGCAUUUUUGUAUCCAUACCCAAGUCCACAAAUAUUCAAGAUGGAUUUCGAGACG
rnacentral:misc_RNA from 1 species